rnacentral:lncRNA from 1 species
CUUAGCUCCAAUCCAUUGCAAUGUAUGAUAUCUUAGCUGGGAUGCAAAGGUGCAGUCCAGGAACAGGUGUUCUCUGGUUUCCACAGUUUGUUGACACAUAACACAAGUGUCUUCCACAUUCAGGCUCCAUUUAAUCAACCUAUCUUUGGUAGGUAGUCUGUCUUGUAAUAGCAGCCACAGGUUGAAGAUUGCUUUAGGUCGAGCAGCAUUCUGCAUUGUUAAGUUCUUCCAAAGGACUCUAGGUGCCUCUCCAAUCUGUUGUAAAUAGAGCAUUCUUAUAGUGCAAUCAGGUUUAUGCAACAGUUUGUGUUGUUGCAAUAGCACAGUGCCUUCAAUGAUCUUCCGGACCAUCCAACUGGCUUGUUUAGGCACAAUGAUGGUCUCCAACUGUUUCUGUUUGAUAUAAACUGUGUGGAUCCAUUU